rnacentral:lncRNA from 1 species
CCGAAGUUGUUGAUAAAGUGUAUCAAGUUAGUACCCUGUGGUUUCGCAUUUUUUCAUUUUAGUAUCAUGUGGUUUCGCACUUUCUCACUUUAGUAUUCUGUGGUUUAAAAACCAUAUGAUACUAAUUUGAUACAAAAAUAAAACCACAGAAUACUAACUUGAUACACUUUAAACCACAGGGUAUUAAAGUGAUAAAGUGCGAAACCACAGAGUACUAACUUGAUACACUUUAAACUAUAGGGUACUAAAUUAAAACGUCUGAAACUAUAGGGGGUUUUUUGAAGUUUUCCCAGAUAUUUAUGUUGGGCGUUAGAGAGAGAAAAUAAGCAUUUUUGGUGAAGAGAUUCGAAUUUAUCCCUAUCCAACGCUACAUGCGUCACAGUACAAGAAAGUCAACAAAGCAACAUCUGACAAAAGGGUACAAAAUAAAAAUAAAAAAUUUAUAAAAUUUAUCUCAACUUUUUUUUUUUUCGACUAUUUAAUCUUUAAAUAAUAUAAUUUUACUAUAUGAUCUUCUAAUUUAUUUAAUUUAAGUCAGUUAAUGACUCUUUAAAUUUAAAUUUGAAUGGAUCGUUUAUAUUUAUAGAUUUAAUUAGUAUAUUUAUACAAUUCGUAUAACUAUAAAUGCAUUGAGGCAAUCAAUUUAAAUUUUAUAUCCAAGAGCCAUUAAAUAAGUUAAAUUAAAAAAUUUGAAAGAUUGGAUAAUAAUUUAGAAAUUUAAAAAAUUAGACAGUCGAACCAGAAUAGUCUAUAAGAUAAGA